rnacentral:rRNA from 1 species
AACGAACGCUGGCGGCAGGCUUAACACAUGCAAGUCGAGCGGAGAUGAGGUGCUUGCACCUUAUCUUAGCGGCGGACGGGUGAGUAAUGCUUAGGAAUCUGCCUAUUAGUGGGGGACAACAUUCCGAAAGGAAUGCUAAUACCGCAUACGUCCUACGGGAGAAAGCAGGGGAUCUUCGGACCUUGCGCUAAUAGAUGAGCCUAAGUCGGAUUAGCUAGUUGGUGGGGUAAAGGCCUACCAAGGCGACGAUCUGUAGCGGGUCUGAGAGGAUGAGCCGCCACACUGGGACUGAGACACGGGCCAGACUCCUACGGGAGGCAGCAGUGGGGAAUAUUGGACAAUGGGGGGAACCCUGAUCCAGCCAUGCCGCGUGUGUGAAGAAGGCCUUAUGGUUGUAAAGCACUUUAAGCGAGGAGGAGGCUACUGAGACUAAUACUCUUGGAUAGUGGACGUUACUCGCAGAAUAAGCACCGGCUAACUCUGUGCCAGCAGCCGCCGCAGUAA